rnacentral:rRNA from 1 species
UCCCUACGGGGGGCAGCAGUGGGGAAUAUUGCACAAUGGGGGGAACCCUGAUGCAGCGACGCCGCGUGAGUGAAGAAGUAUUUCGGUAUGUAAAGCUCUAUCAGCAGGGAAGAUAAUGACGGUACCUGACUAAGAAGCCCCGGCUAACUACGUGCCAGCAGCCGCGGUAAUACGUAGGGGGCAAGCGUUAUCCGGAUUUACUGGGUGUAAAGGGUGCGUAGGUGGCAGGGCAAGUCAGAUGUGAAAGCCCGGGGCUCAACCCCGGGACUGCAUUGGGAACUGCCCCGCUCGAGUGCCGGAGGGGC